GCCGUGGCCCUGUGGCCGUCGCCCCUGCCAUCCCGCGAACCCCCUUUAUUCCCCUGUUGCACCACCGCCUCCUCCCUCUUCCGUAGCCUCUCGUCAUGCUCCCUUUUCCCGCACGCAGAGCUCUCUUGACUCCGUCGAGCCGGGUUGCUUUGUCGACACACUCUCCUCCUACACCGUCCAGUCCUAUGACGUGUUCGAGAGGGCGUGGAGUCCAUCCCGUGGGAUGAUUCCUAAGUGGCAAUUUGGCUCCAGGUUCUCGAUGCAGAUCCUGACGGAUGCGGAAGAUAUGUGUUGCUUUGCUGGUUGUCACUCGGCAUCGCAACGCUUCUCACGUUGUGAACGUGAUUGGACCCUAUUGAGAAUUUCUUUCCUUUUCCUUUCCCCCUAUUAUUUCCAUGAUCAGAGGAGAGAGCUUGUGUUAGCAGAGGAUGUGUUGAUCCUUGCACAAGAAGAGAAGUUAUAUAGAGGAAGGAAGAAAGAAUGGUGUUGAUUAAGUUGCACGAAGUUCUCAAGAGCACGGUGGAGCUACUCACAAGGCCCCGCACUGUUUCUGCCUUCAAGAAGAAGGGCGUCCUUAGCAUCUCUGAGUUCAUCCUCGCUGGUGAUAACCUUGUCGCCAAGUGCCCGACCUGGUCUUGGGAGGCAGGCGAGCCGAGCAAGAGGAAGUCCUACUUGCCAGCUGACAAGCAAUACCUCAUCACGAGAAAUGUACCUUGUCUAAGGAGGGCUAGUUCAAUGGAAGAAGAAUACAAUAUUAUAGGAGAAGAGAUUCUUUUUGAUACUAAUGAUGAAGAUAUUAUUGGUUGGAUAGUAACUCAUCGGAAGCCAAGAGAGAUCAAGCAUUAUAAGGAGGAAGCUAUACCUUCCAUGGAGUCUGUGGAAAUUGACAAACGUGAGACUGUCACGUUCAACCCCAUUUAUUUUGCUGUUGAGGAGGAAGACAUACCUGACAUGGCAGAUUAUGAGAAAAAGACAGAAACAGUCAUCCUUCCAUCAACUUAUCUCGUUGCAAAUGAACCUGAGGAUGACAAAAUUCUUCGGACUCGAACAUAUGACGUUAGCAUAACGUAUGACAAAUAUUAUCAAACUCCUCAUGUAUGGCUAACUGGAUAUGAUCAGUGGAGGAUGCCUUUGCCGCCAGAACUUAUAUUUGAAGAUGUGAACGAAGACCACACACAGAAAACAGUGACAAUUGAAAAUCAUCCUCAUUUGUGCCUGAAGCAUGCAUCUGUACAUCCAUGCCAUCAUGCGGCUGUCGUAAAAAAAAUGCUGGAUGUUCUCAUAUCACGCGGAAUUGAACCAGAAGUUGACAAGUACCUUUUCUUGUUCUUGAAGUUUAUCUCCUCUGUGGUUCCCACGAUCGAGUAUGACUACACAAUGGACUUUGAUCUUUGAAGUUCCAGUGACCAACAAGAGACAUGAACCCUGCCACCUGAGGUACUUAUACAGCAUGAUGAUAUGCCCAAUUAGUGGCACAUGCUCAUCGAACUUUAUAUGGAGCUUAAUGAAAGAUUCUUCUUUUUGUGGUCAGCGACUAAGAUUUGUAUAAGCUUAUGUUGUAUAAUAGUCAUAAUGAUACUAUUGAUCGGUAGAUGUGAUAGUCACAAAGCUAGAUUAGAUUAUGUUUUUUGCAGGAUUGAGAUGUCAGUGGUGGAAUUGUAAUACUCCAUACUGGUCAAACAUUGAAUGCUAGAGGAUGUUUGAAUUGGAUUAUAGGGGUUAUCUCAUUGAGUCGAAUCAUGAGAAGUUAUAUUAGAGAAGAUCUGAGGUUUGGUAAUAUUACAUCGUUUUUCUGAUAUUUAAUGCAAUUUAAGUUAAUUGGAUAUUACGAAUGGCAAAUCAUCAUAGUCUGUGAGAUUGACGUAAUCGAUGGAUAUGAUCUUUCCGGGUAUGAUUCUGGGCCUCUGCGGCGGGUGUGAAAAGCAUUUCAAGAAACAAGGCAUCGCGAGGUCGUUUUGUGACUAACCAUCGCGAGGCCUCGGUCGUUCCGGCCGUUUUCCCUCCAAACAGGUCACCCUAAUCCUCAUCGUGCGUCCUUCCCCCGCCGCGGUCUACGCGUCCGCCGAGCUCCCUCGCGGCCGCCUCGGUCACCAUCGUUCCGGCGUCUCCUUUGCCUUUCAUCAAGCGGUCGUUUCGGCUUCUCCUUUGCCUUUCAUCAAGCGGUUCCGCGGCAAAAUGAUCGUGGUCAAGUACGCCUUUCAUCAGCGACCUCGUUCUUCUUUCGUGCGACGGCCUACGCCCCAUCCUCGUCCAUGAUGACCACCCGGAGAUCGACUCCUUGCUCCUCCGUCUCGUCACGAGGAACACAAACUUGGCUGACUUUGUGGUCCAAGGUUCAAUUUAGUUAGUAAUUACAUGGUGCAGAUUGAUCAUAUUAUAUAUCACUUACACCUACACAAGCGGUCAAAUGGUUGAUUGCAUUCGGUAAGCAUUCAAGGGUUUCUUUCAUUGUGUUCUUGAGUAUCAUUCCUUUUUCUUUUCUUCUCUGAGUUAAAUUGUUGAGGUCAGGUGCCGAAGGUGAAGGCAGAUACCAAAACAAACUUAUAUACUGCCGUCUAAAUGGAAGCUGAUAAUUAAUGUUUUACUGAAAGUGUUACACAUUGGUUGCUUUGAUGUGAUUUAGAUGAUAACAAAAUGACAUGCAUUGAUAGUGUAUGAUUGUGACAAAAAAAAAAGAGUAGUUAGAAUUGUUAGAUUAUGUGACCCUAUUUAAUUGAUAAAAUAUAUUAGAUCUGAUUGGAUUCUAAUGAAAGUUAUUAGUCAAUAGAAAGAAAGUUCAAUUAUGAUAGGAUUUCUUACGAGAGAGAAACUCUCAUAAUUACUUAUUCUAGAUCCUUUGCUCUUGUCUAUAUAUAGGCAAAACUUUUUAUAUAUGAACAUGAUAGAUCUACAUUUGAUGAUUUCUAGAAACUCCAUGAAAGAUAGACCUUCCUUCUUAGAACUUUUGGUAUCAAAAAUUCAAAUGUACAAGUUAUCAAAUGUAAAAGCACAUUCAAAUAUUGAUUAUUCUCUACCUUGGCAUCAUCGCAUGAGUUAUCAAUCAAUCACCAUUGUCAACAUCAUCAUUAUCAUGAAGCACUUUCCCUUAUAUAGCAUUGUAUUCUUCUUCCAUUGAACUAGUCUGCCAAUAGACAACAAUCAUGAUUGGUUAGGCAAGAGCCAAAACAAAUGGGUCUAGUUAUUAAAUGGGUUGAACAUGAGAAAACAAAACGGUAUCUUUCUGAUCUCAUAACACCAACUAGCAAUCAUUAAUUAGAAAUAGAAUAUUUUUAAUUCGAUGGUUAACAUAAUAAGGUAUUCCUUGUCAGCCGUCGAGUAUGACUUCCUAAUCCUUGGCGCUAAGCCUACCUCGCUAACCAAAUCCAUGAAGAAUAAAAGUAAUUCAAAAUAAAUUUUGAAUCUAGUCAAAGAGGGAAGGAGGAAGAGAGUGGCUAACCAAGAGUAGGUGGGCUGCUUGAUGAUGAAGAUAGGUGAGGUUAUCACCAAGUUCUCUUGGGCGUCAAGUGCCUCACCUGGUUUGGGUUAGCCCCUCCUUUCCUCCUCUCCUCUAUGACAAGAUUCUAUAUUUCUCUUAAAUUGGGUUUUGCUCUUCGUGGAUUUGGUUUAGGAAGGUGGGCAAACGAAACGUAAGGAAAUCAUGCUUUCUAUCUGACAAGCAAUACCCUGUCAUAAAGAAUGGUAUACACAUCAUGUGGGUAUAGAUACUCUCUUUCCAAUUAAUAGUCACUACUUGGUGCUACGAGAUCAGUAAAUAGAAUUUUGUUUAGGGUUUAGGGUUUAUGAGAUUAAUAGUCACCUUAGAUUAGGAUUGUACCUAAUCUAAGGUGAGCUAGUUUGAAGGUUCUUUUUUAUAAUGGUGAUUGGUUGGUGACUCAUACACUGUUAAAAGGUAAAGCAAAAAACUUAAUAUUUGGAUUUGAUUUGUUUUAUUACACUUUUACUUUUACAUUUGGUUAUUUGUGCAUAUAAAUUUUUUAGAGACCAAGAGUUCUAAGGAGAAGGAAGGUCUAUCUUCUAUGGAGUUUUUGAAAAUCAACAAAGGUGGAGCUAUCAGGUCCAUCCUUUUAUUUUGGUGCUGAGGAGGAAGAUAUACCUCACAUGUUGGAGUAUGAAGAUCGCAACUUCAUCAAGACAUCUGGCAAAUGCACAUUUUCGCGAGAAACACUAUUACCUUGUAGCUUUCUUGUUUUAUCACCUCGGUGGUUCCUACAAUCCGAGUAUGACUACACAAUGGACUUUGAUCUUGGUGUUCAGGUACGGCCUCGUUUUUUUUUUAAAUAAUUUUCAUUCAUUACGUCAAACGAUAUACAAGACGUGCAUGUCGACUUGAACAUUAGACCUCUCGACUGUGCAACAGUUUACUAAGUUACUAACCACUAGAUGUGUCAACAGAGAAAAGAGUUGUGCUCUAUGGUUGGUUAUAUUUAGUGUCGUGAAAAGGAAUUUGUGUGCUAUUGAUGGAUUCCUAUUGCAUGUUCUUGGGAGAAGGUAAUGGUGUCAUGACAUAACAGGAAAAGCACCUCAUAUAUGCCUUCAUUGUAUCAGAUUGAAGCAAGCAUGCAGAAGGCUUGAAGCAAUUUAUAUAUGCCUGUCUGCUUAUAGUAAGCAUUGUACUACAUAAUACAAACUACACAUUUGUGUGUGAAUCAUAUCACACUUUGUGAAGUCAUGUUUUUGAACUC